GGUUGUAUGUCUAAAGGGAAACAGCCCAGAACAAGUGUUAAUAAGGUUCCAAAAUUAUUAUUAAGUGAAAUAAAGGUAGUUUAUGUCCUAACCGGCCAGGAAAUGGGCUUAGCAGCGGCCAUUUUUUAAAGACCUCGUAACAGAGCACUGGUUUCUCCUAAUUUUUAGGGUAAAUUAAGCAUAAAAAGUUAAAAUUUUUAAUUUAGUUUACAUGGAUAUAAGCACCGACGAUACAACGGAUCUAAAUAAUAUACCGAGACCUUGUCCAUAAUUAUAUAUAUAAUGUUAUAUAACCAGAGUAUAUUAAUUAAUUUUAUUUAUAUGCUAUAGAAUCAUACUAGGGCGGCGCAAACCCGGCUGCUAGUUGCAACAUAUAUACUGGAGUUAAUUUUUAUCUCUAGCAAGCCUUUUUAGCAAAAUCCAAGGGGAAUUAAUUUUAAUUAAGCGUG
rnacentral:rRNA from 1 species